GAACAGAUUGUCCCAAGAUGUUGUGUAGUCUCCCUCAGUGGAUGUGUCCAAGAACCAUCUGAAUGCGAUCCUGUGCUGUGUGCUCUAGGAUGGCCCUGGAGCACGUUGUUCUGAGCAGCCGGCGGUGUCCGGCUUGGCCUGGCUGUUCACGGGCACGGUGCAGGCGGGCCCGGCCUUUGGUCAUUCACUGCCAGCCGGCAGGCACGCUGCGAACCGCAGCGCCAGCACCUUCGUCCCUCCUUGAAUUGGGGGUGCCUGAGCCGUCCAGUGCCCACUUGUUAGCAAGCCGGGUGUUUUUCCAGCUAGAAUGGAUCCGGUAGGGAGAAACGGGAUUAGGUGUGAACACCUUUCUCCAGAGAUUUCCAGUGUGAUGCUGUUAAGCUCUGCCCCUGUAGGGUGGGGCAGAGUCCAUCACGCUGCUCUUGUGUCUUAGCUUUGCCUGCGCGUUCCCAGCAACACUCCAUUCUCCAUCUGCCCCGUUCAAGCCUGGUCGUUCCAUGUAAGCCUUCCCUGUCCUGCUUUGUUCAUACGCUGCCCCUGUGUGUCCUUUGGGGCUGUUUCUGUAUGCAUGCGUCUGUUUUUGGACAACACCUCAGCACUGGCCUGACUCGUUUGCAGGGGGAAUGAGGUUGGUGACUGGAGGGAAGGAUCGAGGUGUCACAUGCAAAGUGACAGCAGGCAGCAGUGUGGACUGGGACAGGAGAGGGAGAUGGGUGAUAAGAGCUGUGUGACAUGCUGCUGUGUGAAUGAAACUUGAGAACAGCCAGGGCAGAGCAGAGCCCCCAGUGAGGCCCUUAGGACAGAAACCUUCCCUUCCCACUCUCCUCACUUUCCCACACACACUUGGGAAGUUUCCCGUGUGUCUUCUACCUUGGCUUUUAGGUGAAACCCUUGGACACAAACUGUACCUUUCCAGCCUGAUAACAGACCAUUAGCAUCUCAGGAAGCUUUAAGUCAAGGCUGAAAUUAAUAAUGGAAGAAACACUUGUAGACAUGUCUGGGUGAAAGGCUGAAAGUAACCAAAGAACCACAGAAUGUCACCUAAGCCAGGCAGCAUUGCCCAUACCUUGUAAGGACCUCCGCAAGGAGGACAAGUGUGUAAGGGAACACCAAAACCAUGACCCUGCAAGAAGGGGAGGAGAAAUGGGAGAAAGAAUGGAGAAUGUAUAUGACGGUGUGUCUGAAUGUGCACAAAUUAUCUUUCUUAGUGGCCCCCAAUAUUGUACAAAAUUAUUUGUUACAGAAGUGUUUAAAUUCCAAAGCAUAUGUGAGACCAAAAUAUAAGACCAAGAAAGUUCUCUUUGGUUUUUUCUCCCCUCUCAAUUUACAGAAAGAUAGAGGCAGCAAAUUUAAAUAUUGAGUCUAGCCUUCUGGUCUGCAUGACUUCAGGCAGGAGUGGUUGGCUGUGCCUUGGAUUACUAAUGACUUUCUGGUAGUACAGGCAGAAAUUCUUAAUUCUGUGUACUGUCAUGAAAUGCCAUGAGACAGUCAUUACCUUGCCAUGAAAAAAGAGUCCGUUUGGAAGGCUUCUGUUGUUCAGUGUUUCUGUGCUGAUGAACUUUGGCUGAUAAGGCAGCAGGAUCAGAAAAUUACUCUGCUUUUCUAAAAAGAGAUUGUAAAACUUGCAGCAAUGUCUCGCUCAAUCAGAACAAACUUUUUAGCCUUUGUGUAAGUUGGCAGCGGAAAUACUCCAGCUCUACAGAAGCAGAACUGCAGUCAUAUUGCAUCAGGCAGUGAGCACUGUUCUUCCCCAAAUGCAAAUAGGACCAAUAGACCAUAUGUACAGCUCCUUCACAGUUUUAUGGAUGUUUGCAUCUCAGGAAUUAAUUACCAAGAUGGACACAUGCAGAUAAACCAAAAGACUGCACAAAAAAACCCCCAAAAUAGCCAGCAGCUGCUGAAGGCCCUGUCUACACUCCCUCAUGACCAUAAGAGCUUCCUGCCUUUUCUAUGUGCAGACCUCAGAAGGUUCAAAGGAGGUGCAAAGUAGAAAGUUCUGCCUACUGACAACAAGCUCGUUAACAGUUUUGCAAAAGGUAAAGAAGUUCAGAAAACAUGCAGAGCUUUGAACCACAGUUGAAAAUCAUAACGGAGUAUUCCAGGAGCCAUCAGUUUAUGACUUUCCCAUUGAAAAAUGUGACUUGCCUGUAUUUGAUCAGUCGUCCUCCUUGAAUAAGUUGUGCAAUUUCAUUAGUGAAG